rnacentral:rRNA from 1 species
CCUACGGGUGGCAGCAGUGAGGAAUAUUGGUCAAUGGACGAGAGUCUGAACCAGCCAAGUAGCGUGAAGGAUGACUGCCCUAUGGGUUGUAAACUUCUUUUAUAUGGGAAUAAAAUGUUCCACGUGUGGGAGUUUGUAUGUACCAUAUGAAUAAGGAUCGGCUAACUCCGUGCCAGCAGCCGCGGUAAUACGGAGGAUCCGAGCGUUAUCCGGAUUUAUUGGGUUUAAAGGGAGCGUAGGUGGGUUGUUAAGUGAGUUGUGAAAGUUUGCGGCUCAACCGUAAAAUUGCCGUUGAUACUGGCAGUCUUGAGUGCAGUAGAGGUGGGCGGAAUGCGUGGUGUAGCGGUGAAAUGCUUAGAUAUCACGCAGAACACCGAUUGCGAAGGCAGCUCACUGGACUGCAACUGACACUGAGGCUCGAAAGUGUGGGUAGCAAACAGGAUUAGAUACCCGUGUAGUC